GUAAACGGACGUAUAGCAAAUAAUCAUCAAAUGCCUCUCGCGUUCCACUCCCGUGACGUCCACAGAGAGCGCGUCACAGGGAGCCACGAAGAGCUAUCUACUCUCGCCGUUGAGAUCUAGUCAGUAGUCACUCUUUUAGCCUUCUCGCAUCAGAUCAGCUGAAAAGGGAAUUUCGGUGCAACUGUAUCUGCCCCGCGGCACCUUUGUGCCAGGAAGUCAUGGGAAGUUUCCUGCUUAACAAAUAGCUGAUGAGCAUGUCUGGCAUUUUUUUUACUAUUCCUACCAAUCCAGGCUAGAGAGUAGCAGUGUCAAUUUAGGGACUGCCUUUGUGAUUAGAACAGGGAACGGUGUCGAUUUAAGGAGGAAAAGAAAUAUGCAUGCUUGGCAAAGCUAUGACUAUUCAAAGUGAAAACCAGGAUAGGUCGAGAAGGUGUCCUUUUUUGUUUCCUUUCGUUGGCUUUGCCCGCUUGACUGCUAUGCAGUUUUGAGUUGUGUGCGAAUCAUUAAGUUGAAUGUUAGAUAACUUACUUUUGUCUAAACGAAAUGAAUCUCUAAUGCAUUUCAUUCUCGGCUGAUCUUAGUGAUGGGAAUUGUUCCAUGAUAACCAACUAGUACUGGGUAGUAGCAUUACUGUUGGGAUUUAAUUAAGAUUUGGCAAUUUUAAUGUGCGCAGUGAUUAAAUGAAGAAGUAUGCAUGGCUUUUUGAUUC